UAAUUAUUAAUCAAUAAUAACCUGUGGAAUGCUUUCCCAUCAACCCGCACUAUAAUCCAGCAGUUUGGCAAACAACUGUCGUGUUUUUCAAAAUGACGAACAUACUCGUACUUGCUGUUGGCCAUUUUUGUUGCUAUGUAUUUACAAACGGCUUUACAAUUGAAUAAUGUUGUGAUAAUGUUGAGCUGCUUGGCAUUACAUUUUACACGUUUUAAUGUUGUUGACAUAAUAAUUUCGAUAUGAAGAGUAGGGUAAUCAUUAAAAGAUCGUAGAAUAUGUGGUUAGAUACUUCAUUAUCACAUUCGAAUUGUAAGGUGAAUGUUUGUUAUUCGAUUGCUAGAAAUACGAUAAUACUAGUACUCUUUCAAUAAAUGUAAUCACGGUUAAAUACGAUGGGCGCAGACAUUACUGUGUAGGUGCCCCUUAUGUACAAAUAAUUAUUGUGUAACGACACCAAUAAUAAAAUUAUUAGUAGUCCUAAUAAAUAAACAUACAACACGUUUGUUUUUACUUCGUCUAUAUAUUUAACAGAUUUGAUUAGUAGGUAUAUUAUUAUGUAAAUAAAUAUUUGUCGUGAAGAAGUAUUUACAGCGUUGGACGCGACCAUAUGACCCUUGACCUCGAUUGGAAAACACUUGGAUACGCCAGUACAAGGAGUAGACAGUACAUAAUAAGACAUUACCAACUGGCUAUAUACUUUUGAAGUUCUGUCAUCGCACGUGUAUUAGUUAAAAUUCUGAAGGCUGCCCUCCCCACCACUACAUGUAGCAUUGGCAUCAGGCAGCGUUUUGACUGGAGCAGUACCUACAACCCUUUCUGCGCCAUUUAAGGAAAAUGGAUUUUAAAGUGGUGAUUACGACUUGCAUGGAAAAAUAGCACUUAUAUAUUGCCUCAGUACAGAACCCAGUGGUAGAAUGAGCAGCUCAAGAGUGGACCUGAAGGUGGUGCUGCUUGGCAAAGAGUAUGGUGGAAAGACUAGCCUAGUAGAGAGAUACCUGCAUGACCGAUUCAACGCCGAUUUGCCCUAUCAAAAUGUA